AAGCCGGUUUUUUUUUUUUGACCAAAAUUAAACUUUCCCCUUUACUCGUAUUCUAAAACACUGAAUUCGACUCUCGUUCUCUCAAACCGAGUCCUCUGACCUCUCUCUCAGUCCCCUACUCCCCUUGAUACAAAAAUGAAAACCCAGAGACCGGGUCUCGACGGUGGACGACGGCGGCAUGGCGGGCGGAAGCUUUAUCGCUUCUCUAUCUCCUCGAACAAUGGUCUUGGUCUCUCCACAUCACUCGAGAUCUCGGUCUCUCCUCGUCGUCUCUCUCCCAAGUCUCAAUAUCUCCUCGACGGCUCCGGCCCUCUCCUUCUCUCCUCAACUAUCGAAGGUCUUUUUCAUCCUCGUAAGCCGACAGCUCUAAUCGAAAGCAGAGAAAUGGAGCAGAUCCAGUUCAAUCCUGGAGGUCUCUCUUUUUAUCUUUUAUCCUUUCUUCUCUUUCAAUUCAUAUAUCAUUUAAUUGUUUGUUAUGCUGCAAUUUGCGAACACCCAGAACGAGAAAUUGGUCCAACGUAGAUACAAAUAAGGUAGGACAAAGGCUUUAUGUGCCUCCUGAGCUGGAAACGAUAAUUCUUUGUCCGUCUGUCUCUGUGCGACUGUUGUUUGUUUUAUUUUUGGUAUCUUUGAUCCUCUGCUGUUAGGUCUUGUUCUUCCUUUUCUUCCACUUCUCUGCAAAUCUUCAUAUCUACGCGGAUUGACCAUCAAAUUUCCGCCAACGUUUGGCCCUCUGGGUCAAUCACGCAAUCUCAAUUUACAUUGGCUUUUGAAUGGUGGCUUGGUUUGCUCAUCAAUCCUAGUCUGAAAGUUUGGUGUUGAACAUCAAGAUGGGAGCUUGUGCGUCCAAGGUCAGUGUUCUUUUCAUUCUUCCGAUCCUUAUGUUUUCUUCAGCGGCUUAAGACUUCUCAUAUGUCAAUUGAUAGUAAUAAUAUAUCUUCCUCCCAGGAAGUUUGCGGGCAAUUGUUGGACGAUAGUUCAAUUUCUAUGCUUAAAAUGGCACUACGAAAAGUCUGAAUCAUUGGCUAAAAGCAUCAACAAAUCAGAGAGAGAACAUGAACUUGUAAUUGCUUCUAUAUCAUCUAGGACAUCUUUCAGAACAUCUGGAACAUCUUUCUGUAGUUUUUUUGCUGUAAGUUGUAUAUAUCUAGAACAUCUUUCAGAAUCAGUGGGUGAGAGAAAUGAAAGAGAAAGAUAAAAAUCAUGUCCUUCGCCAAAGCAAUCAUAUUUGGUCAAGAACCUUGGUACCAUUGCAAGGUCUGGCACCAAGAAAUUCAUGGAAGCCUUGGCAGCGUGGCUGCUGGACCUGAUUUUAGCAUGAUUGGUCAGUUUGGUGUUGGGUUCUACUUUGCAUAUCUUGUUGUUAAGAAGGAAGAGGAAGUUGAUGAAGAGAAGGAAGUGGUCAUGUUUCUGGCCUUGAUGUUUUUCACCUUUUUGUUUAGGCAGGGUUAGUAUGUUCAUGUUAGGAUGAUGAUGGAAUGAAUUGGUUUUGGAUAUUUAAUCAAUUAAUGGAUAUGUUUUUGGAUGUGUUGA